rnacentral:rRNA from 1 species
AAUAGAUACCCGGGUAGUCCACCCCGUAAACGUUGGGAACUAGUUGUGGGGUCCUUUCCACGGAUUCCGUGACGCAGCUAACGCAUUAAGUUCCCCGCCUGGGGAGUACGGCCGCAAGGCUAAAACUCAAAGGAAUUGACGGGGACCCGCACAAGCGGCGGAGCAUGCGGAUUAAUUCGAUGCAACGCGAAGGACCUUACCAAGGCUUGACAUACACCGGAAACGGCCAGAGAUGGUCGCCCCGCAAGGUCGGUGUACAGGUGGUGCAUGGUUGUCGUCAGCUCGUGUCGUGAGAUGUUGGGUUAAGUCCCGCAACGAGCGCAACCCUCGUUCUAUGUUGCCAGCACGUAAUGGUGGGAACUCAUGGGAUACUGCCGGGGUCAACUUGGAGGAAGGUGGGGAUGACGUCAAAUCAUCAUGCCCCUUAUGUCUUGGGCUUCACGCAUGCUACAAUGGCCGGUACAAAGGGCUGCAAUACCGUGAGGUGAGCGAAUCCCAAAAGCCGGUCCAGUUCGGAUUGAGGUCUGCAACUCGACCUCAUG